rnacentral:rRNA from 1 species
UACGGAGGGGGCUAGCGUUGUUCGGAUUUACUGGGCGUAAAGGGCGCGUAGGCGGCUUAACAAGUCACUUGUGAAAUCUCCGGGCUUAACUCGGAACGGCCAAGUGAAACUGUCAAGCUAGGAGUGCAGAAGGGGCAAUCGGAAUUCUUGGUGUAGCGGUGAAAUGCGUAGAUAUCGAGAGGAACACCUGCGGCGAAGGCGGGUAGCUGGGCCGACACUGACGCUGAUGCGCGAAAGCCAGGGGAGCAAACGGG